rnacentral:rRNA from 1 species
GACGAACGCUGGCAGCGUGCCUAAUACAUGCAAGUCGAGCGGACAGAAGGGAGCUUGCUCCCGGAAGUUUGCGGCGGACGGGUGAGUAACACGUGGGCAACCUACCCUGUAGAUCGGGAUAACAUCGAGAAAUCGGUGCUAAUACCGGAUAAUCAUUUGAAGUGCAUGCUUCGAAUGUAAAAGAUGGCUCCGGCUAUCACUACGGGAUGGGCCCGCGGCGCAGUAGCUAGUUGGUAAGGUAAUGGCUUACCAAGGCAACGAUGCGUAGCCGACCUGAGAGGGUGAUCGGCCACACUGGGACUGAGACACGGCCCAGACUCCUACGGGAGGCAGCAGUAGGGAAUCUUCCGCAAUGGACGAAAGUCUGACGGAGCAACGCCGCGUGAGUGAUGAAGGUUUUCGGAUCGUAAAGCUCUGUUGUUAGGGAAGAACAAGUGCCGUUUGAAUAAGGCGGCACCUUGACGGUACCUAACCAGAAAGCCACGGCUAACUACGUGCCAGCCGCCGCAGUAAGAC